rnacentral:piRNA from 1 species
GCCUGACACUCCCCAGCAUGAUGCUCUA